ensembl:lncRNA
ACUUGUUUCUGCGAGACACAAACGGGAACGAAUUUGAGCCGUUUAUGGAGAGCGGAAAAGGAAGCGAGGAAUACACCUCGGCCUCUCUCUCUCUCUCCCCCCGGGGGAGUGCUGAAAGCGUAUUGUUGUUGCCUGUUUGUUGUUCAGCGCCCUGUUGAUCAGUGUCUUCUGCCUCACUCUCUGUGCAGGCAAUCUGAUGGAAUCGUACACCGAAGCUCAAAUGUCCCCACAGCAUCUCAUACAGCGCAAACGUCCAUGUGCUCUCUUUCUCUUAUUGCUUCAGAUUGUGAUUAUUCCAGCCAAAGUAAUUUGAUGUCAUUUCUAUCCAGGGGCUCUUCUUGUCCAUCACUGCUUUCAUAUCUUCAACAGGCACGCAGCGCUGUCCAAAGCCGGGCCUCGGCGAUGUUGACCACAGGCAAAACAGCCAUCUGUAAUGUGUCCCCGCGUCCCUUUGGGGAGCAGGUGAAGGAUCUGCUGUCACUCUAGCAGGGGAAACAUCUGUCCCCAUUAAAUUACUACGGCCCUGCCAUGCAAGUUAUCGCUACUGCACUCCAUUUUACCGCCUGAGUCCUGCGCCUGUGGACAUGGGUAUAAAACAAGAUUAGUUAAAUGACUGGGAACAGGGGAAGUAGGGAGGGACGGACGGAGGGGAGACAAGAGAAAGCGGCGGAGACUCCACUUCCACUGUCGUCUGCCCUCGUGUCAAUUAGGAACUGGGGACUCGAGUGAAGCAAAAGAAAGACGCAAUCGCCUCAUCCAUCGGCUCAGACGUCACCGCGCGGCGUAAACAUCAUUACACGGGUAACACUACGAGAGGCCCCUGAAAAGAACUGCGCAGGACCGCUCAGAUUUUCAGAUUUCGUCUGCCUCUUAUUCGUUUUCAAAUGUUGUUUUACUUUCAGACUUGAAUCAGAUCCGAGUAGCACCCACAACGCAGCUGCUGCAGUGUCACGGAAGGAUUGUAGCAUGGAUGCAUUAUGGAUAAAGUAAAAACGUUUGUGUUUCAGCUUCAUAUGAUGUGCAUGCAUUUCGGAGGAGUGCACGUGGGAGACGGAAUGGUGAGAGGACGGGGGGAGAAAACUAAUGGCAGGCCAGGUAGGGAAGAAAAAGAGAUGUCUGCAGGGUAAAAACAACAGCAGAAAAGAAUAAAUAAUGAAGGAUAUUGGCGGAGAGAGAUAACCCGGCUGGGAACAAACAUGAAAAUAGAGAUACUCAAAUGGAGAGACGUGGACACAUCAAACGCAAUCAGGUGACUUUUGUAUUUCUCUGUCACACACAUCAGACGACAUAUUUGAAAGAGGGAAAACGUAAUGCAAUAAAAGGUGGGAGUUCAAAUGGGUUUAGUAAAUUUUAAUAAGGUGUGUGAAUACAAGUCCAAUAGUUUAAUGCAACGGUGCAAUAUUUGGGAAAAUGUAUUUAACUGCUUUCUGGCGGAGAGUCGGAUGAGAGAUCAAUACCAAAAAAGUCAAUAGACCCGAGGCAGCGGCCUGGAACUGUCCAACAGUCAAAUAAAUUGACCUACACCUCCAAAGCUCACAAAUUAAAUGUGUGGAAGUGUAGCUUAUAAAUUUUACGUGCACUUAUGUGUCUUAAUAUUUUUCUGGAUAUUCCUUUAAUGCUCUUGUGAAUCAUUACCGCAUGCUGUAGCUUUCUCCAUAUCAGUUAUGCUUUCUUUCUUUCUCUAUUCCAGUCUCUGCCUCGCUGCCAAGUAGCAUUUCUUAGUCGAUAAUCUGUUUAUGAUCUGCUCACUUGUGAGAAAAAAAUAUGAAUUAUUUUAUGAUCACCCUGCACAACAACGUGACCUCUGUCCCAUAAAGCAGAGGGAAUUAACUGUGGCAUAGUAUUUAGUAAAGCUUUUGAUUAUUCAAUGGAGCACAGUGGGUGUCGUGAAGCUAAUAGCAAAAAGCAGCGCCGGCUAUCAUCUUUCACCCGGACAGUUUAAUUCUUAGCACCGCCUGAGUAUGAUGAGGCAAUGCGGCUCAUUGCUAUGCUAUUCAACACAAUGACCGGGGGCUGUGAUAAACAACUUUUUAAUUGCAAAUGCCUGAAGUGUGACCAGUGUCAGAGGUUUGCAUUUUACAUUAUAAUAGUGUUUCCAUUGCAGCAUGGUUCACCUCACAUAACAGAUGGUGAAAUGCAUACAAGGCUAUUCAAAGAUAUGGUAAAUGUUACUUUACUAAUUUACGUAGAAGUUUCAUAUUGAUUUAUUUUUACUUCUGGUUAACCAAUUUUAUUUGACAAGAGCUACGUGAGAUGACCUGCCCAUGUAUGAAUGUGAGCAAAAUAAUUAAGCAACUCUGAAUAUUAAUUCUAAAAAUCAUUCUUACCAUCUUCAACAUGUAAUAAAUCACUGUCGGUCUUCUGAUAUGGACACAAUUGUGUGUCGGGGUCUGCGGACACUAAAGGGCUUCUUCACUUACAAGGUAACGAUUGGACCCAAGGCAAUGGACAUGUAUAAAUCAAUCUGUAAUUAUUCUUUCAAGGUGACAAAAAACAUGAAUAUGCAAAGAGUAGAACACCAGGCGUAAACCUUUCUCUUCAGUUUUAAUUGUUCUGAUGAAAUACUGUUUCGUCCCUAUUUCCAUGUUUGAAUAAAUCAAUGACACCAAAGAAGAGAUAAGAGCUUCUCUUGUGUCUCUCUGCUCUUAUAAAUCUACCGGCCCACGGCACCCUCCAUCAUUGGUUUUACAGUAAACCAUUACAAGCAAGAUAUCUUGACUUGUAAUGAGACAAAUAUAGAUUUUACAAGUCUUGGC